rnacentral:rRNA from 1 species
UAGUCCACGCCCUAAACGAUGUAUACUCGAUGUUUGGAUUUAUUUCUGGGCAUCCAAGGGAAACCAUUAAGUAUACCACCUGGGGAGUACGUCGGCAACGAUGAAACUCAAAGGAAUUGACGGGGUCCGCACAAGCGGUGGAGCAUGUGGUUUAAUUCGAUGAUACGCGAGGAACCUUACCUAGGCUCGAACGCUACUGGACAGGAUUUGAAAGGAUUUUUCCCUUCGGGGUCAGUAGUGAGGUGCUGCAUGGUUGUCGUCAGCUCGUGCCGUGAGGUGUUGGGUUAAGUCCCGCAACGAGCGCAACCCUUAUUCUUAGUUGCCAGCACAUAAUGGUGGGGACUCUAGGAAGACUGCCGGCGUAAGCCGUGAGGAAGGUGGGGACGACGUCAAAUCAUCAUGGCCUUUAUGCCUAGGGCUACACACGUGCUACAAUGGCAGGUACAGAGGGUUGCGAAGGGGUGACCUGGAGCUAAUCUCAGAAAGCCUGUCCCAGUUCGGAUUGGAGUCUGC